rnacentral:rRNA from 1 species
AUAUACGACCAUAGGGUGUGGAAAACAGGGCUUCCCGUCCGCUCAGCCGUACUUAAGCCACACGCCGGUGAGUUAGUAGUUGGGUGGGUGACCACCAGCGAAUCCUCACUGUUGUAUGUU